UACGUAGGGGGCAAGCGUUGUCCGGAUUUAUUGGGCGUAAAGAGCGUGUAGGCGGCCAGACAGGUCCGUUGUGAAAACUCGAGGCUCAACCUCGAGAUGUCGAUGGAAACCGUCUGGCUAGAGUCCGGAAGAGGAGUGUGGAAUUCCUGGUGUAGCGAUGAAAUGCGCAGAUAUCAGGAAGAACACCUAUGGCGAAGGCAGCACUCUGGGACGGUACUGACGCUGAGACGCGAAAGCGUGGGGAGCGAACAGG
rnacentral:rRNA from 1 species